rnacentral:piRNA from 1 species
UGACAGCAGGACCUGAGAAGAAUUUUUU